UUGGAAAAGGCACCAACGGAAUUCGCUGAAGGGAGCAAGGAUAACAUAGAUGUUGGACGUGCAAAGAAGGGUGGUGAGAGGGCAGAGCAAACUUCAUCGGAAGGGAGUAGCACUGAGGGUGGGUGUCUUUAAAAUGUUUAGUUUGGGAAAGGGAAAGGGCUUAGCAAGUUGGGUCUCCUUGUUGUCGCAUGUAUCCUGUGUGGUUGCUGGUUCUGUAAUAUGUUUGGGUCGCUAGUGUUUUCUUUGGAUUGUAUGAUGUGCCUGUUAGACUGCUAAGUCAUAUGUAAGCGUUGUUGUAGUUCUGUUGUCGCGCUAAAUGAAAAGAAUCUUUGUUAUAUUACGGUCAAAUGGAACAUCUAAAUGG
rnacentral:lncRNA from 1 species